rnacentral:rRNA from 1 species
UUUCCCUCAGGAUAGCUGGCACUCGCUCGAACGAGUCUCAUCUGGUAAAGCGAAUGAUUAGAGGCCUUGGGGCCGAAACGACCUCAACCUAUUCUCAAACUUUAAAUGGGUGAGAUCUCUGGCUUGCUUGAACGUUGAAGCCACGAGAUAAUUAUGAUUAAUGGAUCAGAGUGCCAAGUGGGCCAAUUUUGGUAAGCAGAACUGGCGCUGUGGGA